UACGGAGGAUGCGAGCGUUAUCCGGAUUUAUUGGGUUUAAAGGGUGCGCAGGCGGCACGGCAAGCCGGCGGUCAAAUCGCGGGGCUCAACCCCGCCCAGCCGUCGGAACUGCCGGGCUAGAGUGGGCGAGAAGUGCGCGGAAUGCGUGGUGUAGCGGUGAAAUGCAUAGAUAUCACGCAGAACUCCGAUUGCGAAGGCAGCGCACCGACGCCCUACUGACGCUCAGGCACGAAAGCGUGGGUAUCGAACAGG
rnacentral:rRNA from 1 species